rnacentral:rRNA from 1 species
GACGAACGCUGGCGGCGUGCUUAACACAUGCAAGUCGAACGGAAAGGCCCUGCUUUUGUGGGGUGCUCGAGUGGCGAACGGGUGAGUAACACGUGAGUAACCUGCCCUUGACUUUGGGAUAACUUCAGGAAACUGGGGCUAAUACCGGAUAGGAGCUCCUGCUGCAUGGUGGGGGUUGGAAAGUUUCGGCGGUUGGGGAUGGACUCGCGGCUUAUCAGCUUGUUGGUGGGGUAGUGGCUUACCCAGGCUUUGACGGGUAGCCGGCCUGAGAGGGUGACCGGCCACAUUGGGACUGAGAUAGGGACCAGACUCCUACGGGAGGCAGCAGUGGGGAAUAUUGCACAAUGGGCGGAAGCCUGAUGCAGCAACGCCGCGUGCGGGAUGACGGCCUUCGGGUUGUAAACCGCUUUCGCCUGUGACGAAGCGUGAGUGACGGUAAUGGGUAAAGAAGCACCGGCUAACUACGUG